rnacentral:rRNA from 1 species
UGGGGAAUUUUGGACAAUGGGCGCAAGCCUGAUCCAGCCAUGCCGCGUGCAGGAUGAAGGCCUUCGGGUUGUAAACUGCUUUUGUACGGAACGAAAAGACUCUGGUUAAUACCUGGGGUCCAUGACGGUACCGUAAGAAUAAGCACCGGCUAACUACGUGCCAGCAGCCGCGGUAAUACGUAGGGUGCGAGCGUUAAUCGGAAUUACUGGGCGUAAAGCGUGCGCAGGCGGUUAUAUAAGACAGAUGUGAAAUCCCCGGGCUCAACCUGGGAACUGCAUUUGUGACUGUAUAGCUAGAGUACGGUAGAGGGGGAUGGAAUUCCGCGUGUAGCAGUGAAAUGCGUAGAUAUGCGGAGGAACACCGAUGGCGAAGGCAAUCCCCUGGACCUGUACUGACACUGAGAGACGAAAGCUAGGGGAGCAAACGGGAUUAGAUACCCUUGUAGUCCCUGAGCGGGCUGGCAAGGCGCAU